rnacentral:rRNA from 1 species
GGAAUAUUGCACAAUGGGCGAAAGCCUGAUCCAGCCAUGCCGCGUGUGCGAUGAAGGCCUUCGGGUCGUAAAGCACUUUUAUGAGGGAAGAGGAAGGACGGUACCUCAUGAAUAAGGAUCGGCUAACUACGUGCCAGCAGCCGCGGUAACACGUAGGAUCCAAACGUUAUCCGGAUUUACUGGGCGUAAAGCGCGUGCAGGCGGUUUGGUAAGUUGGAUGUGAAAGCUCCUGGCUCAACCGGGAGAUGUCGUUCAAAACUACCAGACUCGAGGACGGUAGAGGGAGGUGGAAUUCCGGGUGUAGUGGUGAAAUGCGUAGAUAUCCGGAGGAACACCAGUGGCGAAGGCGGCCUCCUGGGCCGUUCCUGACGCUCAGACGCGAAAGCUAGGGUAGCAAAC